rnacentral:rRNA from 1 species
AACAAACGCUGGCGGCGUGCCUAAUACAUGCAAGUCGAACGGGGAAAGCUUUCGGGUGAGUACUAGUGGCGCACGGGUGAGUAACGCGUGGAUAAUCUGCCUUAGAGUGGGGGAUAACUAGUCGAAAGAUUAGCUAAUACCGCAUAAGACCACAAGAACUGCGGUUCAAGAGGUCAAAGGUUUUUCGCUCUAAGAUGAGUCCGCGUAAGAUUAGCUAGUUGGUGAGGUAACGGCUCACCAAGGCAACGAUCUUUAACUGGUCUGAGAGGAUGAUCAGUCACACCGGAACUGAGACACGGUCCAGACUCCUACGGGAGGGAGCAGUAGGGCAUAUUGCACAAUGGAGGAGGCUCUGAUGCAGCGACGCCGCGUGAGUGAUGAAGGCCUUCGGGUCGUAAAGCUCUGUCGCAGGGGAAUAACACAAUGAAUGUACCCUGUAAGAAAGGAUCGGCUAACUUCGUGCCAGCCGCCGCCGUAAGAC